rnacentral:rRNA from 1 species
UACGUAGGUGGCAAGCGUUGUCCGGAUUUAUUGGGUUUAAAGGGUGCGUAGGCGGCCCUGUAAGUCAGUGCUGAAAUAUCCCGGCUUAACCGGGAGGGUGGCAUUGAUACUGCAGGGCUUGAGUACAGAUGAAGUAGGCGGAAUUGACGGUGUAGCGGUGAAAUGCAUAGAUAUCGUCAAGAACACCGAUAGCGAAGGCAGCUUACUAGCUGUAACUGACGCUGAGGCACGAAAGUGUGGGGAUCAAACAGG